AGCCUCACAAAGUGGUUGUGAAAUGCUUGAAAUUGACUUGGAUUUUUUGAAAAGUUCGAUUUGUGCUUUUUUGAAAAUUGCAUAUCACAGCCAGCUUUGAUGAGCUGAG
rnacentral:pre_miRNA from 2 species